GGAGAACCUAGCUUCGAGCUCGAGUGGCGGCAGCUCAGCUUUGAUAAUUUUUAGAGGAGCAGGAGGUGGCAGACAGAGCGAUAAAAGAUCAUGAUGAGGGCGAUCCAAAUCCAGGAUGAGAGACUUGAGCAAGACCAAAUGUUACAGGUGUGACGAUUUAGGGCAUCUAGCCAAAGAUUGCCCUUAACUAAGGGAUCGGAUGAGGGCUAUGAAGGAACC
rnacentral:lncRNA from 1 species